rnacentral:rRNA from 1 species
GGUUAAGCGACUAAGCGUACACGGUGGAUGCCCUGGCAGUCAGAGGCGAUGAAGGACGUGCUAAUCUGCGAUAAGCGUCGGUAAGGUGAUAUGAACCGUUAUAACCGGCGAUUUCCGAAUGGGGAAACCCAGUGUGAUUCGUCACACUAUCAUUAACUGAAUCCAUAGGUUAAUGAGGCGAACCGGGGGAACUGAAACAUCUAAGUACCCCGAGGAAAAGAAAUCAACCGAGAUUCCCCCAGUAGCGGCGAGCGAACGGGGAGCAGCCCAGAGCCUGAAUCAGUGUGUGUGUUAGUGGAAGCGUCUGGAAAGGCGCGCGAUACAGGGUGACAGCCCCGUACACAAAAAUGCACAUGCUGUGAGCUCGAUGAGUAGGGCGGGACACGUGGUAUCCUGUCUGAAUAUGGGGGGACCAUCCUCCAAGGCUAAAUACUCCUGACUGACCGAUAGUGAACCAGUACCGUGAGGGAAAGGCGAAAAGAACCCCGGCGAGGGGAGUGAAAAAGAACCUGAAACCGUGUACGUACAAGCAGUGGGAGCACAGAGCAAUCUGUGUGACUGCGUACCUUUUGUAUAAUGGGUCAGCGACUUAUAUUCUGUAGCAAGGUUAACCGAAUAGGGGAGCCGAAGGGAAACCGAGUCUUAACUGGGCGUUAAGUUGCAGGGUAUAGACCCGAAACCCGGUGAUCUAGCCAUGGGCAGGUUGAAGGUUGGGUAACACUAACUGGAGGACCGAACCGACUAAUGUUGAAAAAUUAGCGGAUGACUUGUGGCUGGGGGUGAAAGGCCAAUCAAACCGGGAGAUAGCUGGUUCUCCCCGAAAGCUAUUUAGGUAGCGCCUCGUGAAUUCAUCUCCGGGGGUAGAGCACUGUUUCGGCAAGGGGGUCAUCCCGACUUACCAACCCGAUGCAAACUGCGAAUACCGGAGAAUGUUAUCACGGGAGACACACGGCGGGUGCUAACGUCCGUCGUGAAGAGGGAAACAACCCAGACCGCCAGCUAAGGUCCCAAAGUCAUGGUUAAGUGGGAAACGAUGUGGGAAGGCCCAGACAGCCAGGAUGUUGGCUUAGAAGCAGCCAUCAUUUAAAGAAAGCGUAAUAGCUCACUGGUCGAGUCGGCCUGCGCGGAAGAUGUAACGGGGCUAAACCAUGCACCGAAGCUGCGGCAGCGACGCUUAUGCGUUGUUGGGUAGGGGAGCGUUCUGUAAGCCUGCGAAGGUGUGCUGUGAGGCAUGCUGGAGGUAUCAGAAGUGCGAAUGCUGACAUAAGUAACGAUAAAGCGGGUGAAAAGCCCGCUCGCCGGAAGACCAAGGGUUCCUGUCCAACGUUAAUCGGGGCAGGGUGAGUCGACCCCUAAGGCGAGGCCGAAAGGCGUAGUCGAUGGGAAACAGGUUAAUAUUCCUGUACUUGGUGUUACUGCGAAGGGGGGACGGAGAAGGCUAUGUUGGCCGGGCGACGGUUGUCCCGGUUUAAGCGUGUAGGCUGGUUUUCCAGGCAAAUCCGGAAAAUCAAGGCUGAGGCGUGAUGACGAGGCACUACGGUGCUGAAGCAACAAAUGCCCUGCUUCCAGGAAAAGCCUCUAAGCAUCAGGUAACAUCAAAUCGUACCCCAAACCGACACAGGUGGUCAGGUAGAGAAUACCAAGGCGCUUGAGAGAACUCGGGUGAAGGAACUAGGCAAAAUGGUGCCGUAACUUCGGGAGAAGGCACGCUGAUAUGUAGGUGAAGUCCCUCGCGGAUGGAGCUGAAAUCAGUCGAAGAUACCAGCUGGCUGCAACUGUUUAUUAAAAACACAGCACUGUGCAAACACGAAAGUGGACGUAUACGGUGUGACGCCUGCCCGGUGCCGGAAGGUUAAUUGAUGGGGUUAGCGCAAGCGAAGCUCUUGAUCGAAGCCCCGGUAAACGGCGGCCGUAACUAUAACGGUCCUAAGGUAGCGAAAUUCCUUGUCGGGUAAGUUCCGACCUGCACGAAUGGCGUAAUGAUGGCCAGGCUGUCUCCACCCGAGACUCAGUGAAAUUGAACUCGCUGUGAAGAUGCAGUGUACCCGCGGCAAGACGGAAAGACCCCGUGAACCUUUACUAUAGCUUGACACUGAACAUUGAGCCUUGAUGUGUAGGAUAGGUGGGAGGCUUUGAAGUGUGGACGCCAGUCUGCAUGGAGCCGACCUUGAAAUACCACCCUUUAAUGUUUGAUGUUCUAACGUUGACCCGUAAUCCGGGUUGCGGACAGUGUCUGGUGGGUAGUUUGACUGGGGCGGUCUCCUCCUAAAGAGUAACGGAGGAGCACGAAGGUUGGCUAAUCCUGGUCGGACAUCAGGAGGUUAGUGCAAUGGCAUAAGCCAGCUUGACUGCGAGCGUGACGGCGCGAGCAGGUGCGAAAGCAGGUCAUAGUGAUCCGGUGGUUCUGAAUGGAAGGGCCAUCGCUCAACGGAUAAAAGGUACUCCGGGGAUAACAGGCUGAUACCGCCCAAGAGUUCAUAUCGACGGCGGUGUUUGGCACCUCGAUGUCGGCUCAUCACAUCCUGGGGCUGAAGUAGGUCCCAAGGGUAUGGCUGUUCGCCAUUUAAAGUGGUACGCGAGCUGGGUUUAGAACGUCGUGAGACAGUUCGGUCCCUAUCUGCCGUGGGCGCUGGAGAAUUGAGGGGGGCUGCUCCUAGUACGAGAGGACCGGAGUGGACGCAUCACUGGUGUUCGGGUUGUCAUGCCAAUGGCACUGCCCGGUAGCUAAAUGCGGAAGAGAUAAGUGCUGAAAGCAUCUAAGCACGAAACUUGCCCCGAGAUGAGUUCUCCCUGACUCCUUGAGAGUCCUGAAGGAACGUUGAAGACGACGACGUUGAUAGGCCGGGUGUGUAAGCGCAGCGAUGCGUUGAGCUAACCGGUACUAAUGAACCGUGAGGCUUAACCUU